AUUGUACUCCCUCCGUACCAAAAUUCUUGUCUUAGGUUUGUCUAGAUAUAAAUAUAUCUAGUCACGUUUUAGUAUUUAGAUACAUUUAUUUCUAGACAAAUAUAAGACAAGAAUUUUAAAACGGAGGGAGGGAGUA
rnacentral:pre_miRNA from 1 species